rnacentral:rRNA from 1 species
CCUACGGGGGGCAGCAGUAGGGAAUUUUCCGCAAUGGGCGAAAGCCUGACGGAGCAACGCCGCGUGAGUGAGGACGGCCUUCGGGUUGUAAAACUCUGUUCUUGAGGAAGAAUUCCUUCCAGGCGAACAGCCUGGAAGGUUGACGGUACUCAAGGAGAAAGCCCCGGCUAACUACGUGCCAGCAGCCGCGGUAAUACGUAGGGGGCGAGCGUUAUCCGGAAUUAUUGGGCGUAAAGCGCGCGCAGGCGGCUGAUUAAGUCAGGUGUGAAAGGCUGCGGCUCAACCGCAGAGCGGCACCUGAAACUGGUCAGCUUGAGUGCAGGAGAGGGGAGCGGAAUUCCCGGUGUAGCGGUGGAAUGCGUAGAGAUCGGGAGGAACACCAGUGGCGAAGGCGGCUCUCUGGCCUGUAACUGACGCUGAGGCGCGAAAGCGUGGGGAGCAAACAGGAUUAGAUACCCCGGUAGUC